UUUUUACAUAGAAAUUUUGUACUCUGAUUUUUUUUUUACACUGACUUUUUAUACUCUUGUUACUUUCCACGUAGUGGUGGUUUGUUUGUUUUGUGUUUCUUCUUCUUUUGUUUGUACAGGUCACACUCAAUCACUGCCUCUGCUGCUAAUCAACCAGUUCCUGUUCCCAGCUGCUCCUCAUUUCACCUGUUGAUCAGCCAGCCAAUCCCAGUCCACCAUUCAUCAUCCUGUGCUGCUUAAAACCACCUGCUCACCACUGGAUCGGGUAGAUUCUUUUUCUGACAUGCUAUGUGGAGCUUUGAGAGAUGUUACUUUGUCUUUGGCGCUAUUUUGUUUUGUAAUCAUUUUUGUUAAGCUCUUUGCUAAACUUGUGCCACCUGUUUUUUUGUCUUCCUUUUUGUUUGACCUUUCAACUUUUGUUGAAUGGCAGGAGCCCACCCACUGAAGGGAGUUGGAAAAAUAUACAAUUGUCGCCGUGCAGAGAUUAAAAAGUCCACGUUGUCCAGCACGAUUAAUCCUGUGCCUUGUCCAUACUGAGAGCUGCUACCCAUUGCGACAGCCACGCCGCAGUCUAGCUGGCGACACACAACUUGGGCAUCCACCAUGUCCCAGUCAUCAUCGCAGACUGUG